rnacentral:rRNA from 1 species
GUGUAGUCUAACCUGCCCACUGAAGUUUAAAGGGCUGCGGUAAUAUGACCGUGCGAAGGUAGCAUAAUCAAUAGUCUUUUAAUUGAAGGCUGGAAUGAAUGGUUGGACAAGAAGUGAACUGUCUUUUUUGAAGUAAUUGAAUUUUACUUUUAAGUGAAAAGGCUUAAAUGGAUUAAGGGGACGAUAAGACCCUAUAAAACUUUACAUGUAUAUAUAUAUUUAUUUGAAAAUAAAGGUAUAAAGAAAGUAUAAAAAAAAUUUGUUUUAUUGGGGCGAUAGUUAUAAAAAUGAUAAUUGUAAUUUUAAUAAAAUAUAUAUAAAUAGUGUAGUUGAUCCUUUAAUAAGGAUUAUAAGAUUAAGUUACUUUAGGGAUAACAGCGUAAUUCUUUCUGAGAGUUCUUAUCGAUGAAGGUAGUUGCGACCUCGAUGUUGAAUUAAGGUUUUACUAAGGUGUAGAAGUUUUAGUGAUAGGUCUGUUCGACCUU